GUUUGCCUACGGGGGGCAGCAGUGGGGGAUAUUGGACAAUGGGGGGAACCCUGAUCCAGCGACGCCGCGUGAGUGAAGAAGUAUUUCGGUAUGUAAAGCUCUGUCAGCAGGGAAGAAAGCAAUGACGGUACCUGACCAAGAAGCCCCGGCUAACUACGUGCCAGCAGCCGCGGUAAUACGUAGGGGGCAAGCGUUAUCCGGAAUGAUUGGGCGUAAAGGGGGCGUAGGCGGCCUGCU
rnacentral:rRNA from 1 species